rnacentral:piRNA from 1 species
UGUGCAUUGCUUGGUGGUUAGAUGCCAAAAU